AUAGCGUAUAUUAAAGUUGUUGCAGUUAAAAAGCUCGUAGUUGAACUUCGAACGUGGCUGGGCGGUCCGCCUCACGGUGUGUACUGUCUGGCUGUGUUCUCUUUCUUGGUGAGCCGGCAUGCCCUUAAUUGGGUGUGUUGGGGAACCAGGACGUUUACCUUGAGAAAAUUAGAGUGUUCAAAGCAGGCCUUUGCCCGAAUACAUUAGCAUGGCAUAAUAAAAUAGGACGUGGGAUUCUAUUUUGUUGGUUUCUAGAGUCGCCGUAAUGAUUAAUAGGGAUAGUUGGGGGCAUUAGUAUUCCGUUGCUAGAGGUGAAAUUCUUGGAUUUACGGAAGACUAACUUCUG
rnacentral:rRNA from 1 species